CUAAGGCUGAUGGCGACCGGCGCACGGGUGAGUAACACGUAUCCAACCUGCCGUCUACUCUUGGCCAGCCUUCUGAAAGGAAGAUUAAUCCAGGAUGGCAUCAUGAGUUCACAUGUCCGCAUGAUUAAAGGUAUUUUCCGGUAGACGAUGGGGAUGCGUUCCAUUAGAUAGUAGGCGGGGUAACGGCCCACCUAGUCAACGAUGGAUAGGGGUUCUGAGAGGAAGGUCCCCCACAUUGGAACUGAGACACGGUCCAAACUCCUACGGGAGGCAGUAGUGAGGAAUAUUGGUCAAUGGGCGAUGGCCUGAACCAGCCAAGUAGCGUGAAGGAUGACUGCCCUAUGGGUUGUAAACUUCUUUUAUAAAGGAAUAAAGUCGGGUAUGCAUACCCGUUUGCAUGUACUUUAUGAAUAAGGAUCGGCUAACUCCGUGCCAGCAGCCGCGGUAAUACGGAGGAUCCGAGCGUUAUCCGGAUUUAUUGGGUUUAAAGGGAGCGUAGAUGGAUGUUUAAGUCAGUUGUGAAAGUUUGCGGCUCAACCGUAAAAUUGCAGUUGAUACUGGAUGUCUUGAGUGCAGUUGAGGCAGGCGGAAUUCGUGGUGUAGCGGUGAAAUGCUUAGAUAUCACGAAGAACUCCGA
rnacentral:rRNA from 1 species